rnacentral:rRNA from 1 species
GACGAGCCACACGAACGUUAUUCGGAAUUACUGGGCUUAAAGGGUGCGUAGGCGGUGCGGAAAGUUGGGUGUGAAAUCCCUCGGCUCAACCGAGGAACUGCGCCCAAAACUACCGCACUCGAGGAAGAUAGAGGUGAGCGGAACUUACGGUGGAGCGGUGAAAUGCGUUGAUAUCGUAAGGAACACCCGUGGCGAAAGCGGCUCACUGGGUCUUUUCUGACGCUGAUGCACGAAAGCUAGGGGAGCAAACGGGG